AAAUUUUAAGGUUGAACUUUUUUUCUAGUAGAGGAAUUGGGGGUUGAGACUGGAGCCUGAUUUACUAAAUGAAUGAUAUACUUUCAAUUAUCAGAACAAGUCAAGUUGUCAUAUGAGUUGACCUGAACUAGCCGCCGAUACUAAAAUAUAGGAACUUUCCUUGAAACCCAAUUUUAAUGGGAAGAAAAGCUUGACCGUUUACCAACCAGCCAAUUUGGAAGACUUGUAAGGGGACCACAGCAAGAAACUGCCAAGAAGGCAUUCCCGUACACAGGACUGGAUGAAAAGCAUCAAAGAGGACUUCCCAUACACAGGACUUUUAUCUUUCGCUUGGAGUUGAACUUAUUAAACUUUGGGUUAAUUUGGUUAAUUAAUUCCUUCCCUCGAAUCAGCUUGUUGCUCUUCUUGUUUGAUCAUCUUGGUACUGUAGGUUUUGUCAGAUUUUACAAAUGUGUCGUGUUUUGUUACUCUUCAUCCCUUGAGUUGUGUCGAUUUUCCUUGCUUUUCUGUAUCUUCUUGUUAGGUUCUUUCACUUAGCAUUUAUUGUAAAAUAAAUCUUAAUAAAUCAUAACAAUCAUAAAUAUAAUAUGAAUCAUAAACGUAAAAUUCAACCAUCACAUUAAUAAUGGAUCUUGAAUAAAUAAAUU
rnacentral:misc_RNA from 1 species